GGAAUAGGAUUCCAUUUUCUGGUUUCUAGUGCCUGGCCCCAUGUUGGUGUUAAAAUCAGGUUAUUAACCCUUUUGAUUCCUGUUUUCUUCAUUCUAGGUCAGUAAAAACUCAGGUAAUAGUAAAAGCUCUAUGAGAAAGUUCUUCAGUUGACAGUGUCUAUAAAUUCUUAUUUAUUUUGCCACACUUGGGUCUUGGGAAUUGGUUGGCGUUAGUUGAUAAACAGCCACUUCAUGUAUAGGGUCCAAGAGUCUUUUGGAGCCAUAAGUAGUUUUAGAUUAGGUACAGAUAUGGUUUAGGUGCUUCAACAAUAAUCUACUGGUGGAUGUAUUUUUGCUUGUGAGCUUGUUUAGUCCUUUCAACCUUUAAACGCUUUUCAUAAUGGUCUUGUGAGAAGUAGAGUUCUUUAAGGCUUGUUUCUAGCUCUAGUCCUGUUUAGUCUGAGCAAGUCAAGUUGGUUGAUAAGUCAGUUUACUGCAACUAGCUUUUAGAUGAAACUUUUCUUCUUCCAUGCCCAAUAACCUAAAUAAGUGGAUUUUUAUUUUAUUCGUUGAACAACAUUUAUAGUAUCUAUUUCAUAUCCUCCCAGUCAUUUUGUAAUACAGUUCAAUAUUAGAAUUCUCAAAAAUGUGGUCACAUCAUGAAUUUCUCUUGGAGUUCAAUGCCCAUUUCUCUAACUUAUCAUGCUUUGUAUUUUUCUCCGAAGAAGCUGAACAAUUAUGAGGUUGAAAUAAGUAUGACUCAAGGUGCUCCAGGUGUAAAGAGCACCAUUCUCUUGGGGAAUGUGAGGUAUACAUUUACUAAAAGUGCCUAAAAUUACAUAAAAAAAAUUGCAUAAAA
rnacentral:misc_RNA from 1 species